UCCCUACUAGCUGAGGUGGUAAAGAAUCUGCCUACAAUGCAGGAGACCCAGGUUCAAUCCCUGGGUCAGGAA
rnacentral:tRNA from 1 species